rnacentral:rRNA from 1 species
UGCCAGCCGCCGCGGUAAUACGGAGGGUGCGAGCGUUAAUCGGAAUUACUGGGCGUAAAGCGUGCGUAGGCGGCAUGGUCAGUCGGAUGUGAAAGCCCCGGGCUCAACCUGGGAAUUGCAUUCGAUACUACCAAGCUAGAGUAUGUUAGAGGAAAGUGGAAUUCAUAGUGUAGCGGUGGAAUGCGUAGAUAUUAUGAAGAAUACCAGUGGCGAAGGCGGCCUCCUGGAUCUGUACUGACACUGAGGUGCGAAAGCGUGGGUAGCGAACAGGAUUAGAUA